CACGUAGGGGGCGAGCGUUGUCCGGAUUUAUUGGGCGUAAAGAGCUCGUAGGCGGCUAAGUAAGUCGGGUGUGAAAACUCCAGGCUCAACCUGGAGACGCCACCCGAUACUGCUUUGGCUAGAGUCCGGUAGGGGAGCAUGGAAUUCCUGGUGUAGCGGUGAAAUGCGCAGAUAUCAGGAGGAACACCAGUGGCGAAGGCGGUGCUCUGGGCCGGUACUGACGCUGAGGAGCGAAAGCGUGGGGAGCAAACAGG
rnacentral:rRNA from 1 species